rnacentral:lncRNA from 1 species
UUCACUUGGACUGCUGACACCCCUACUUUCCUUAGAGCUGGACUCAGACUCAGACUUUAGUACUGGAUCGGGUGAGGUCCAGUCUCCAAUUUCACACGAACUUUGUGGCGAUCGAGAGUGGCCCGAUACUUUCCCAAACAGAUUCAUGCCUAGGAUUAUCUCGUGAUUUUUGUAGGCACGUGGAUAUUUUUCUCGAUCAGAUCUACAGGCAGAUUUCUCUCCUGGAUUAUCACCGGGAUAUUUUUCAUGAGCCCUAGUGAAUGCAUAAUUUUCCCACCGGCUGCCCUCACUAGUCUCGAAUCAUCCCUAGAACUCAGACAUAACAGACUCUUUCCGACCAGUCCCGGACUCAAAAAACUAUGUGUAGCCUCUGUGUCGAAAAGUACGUGUGUUUCCACACCACAAAUCCACUUGUGGGAACUAUCUCAGUGCAUGACCACACCACAAAGAACGUCCCAUACAUCCCUCAUGGUAUUGCCAAU